rnacentral:rRNA from 1 species
AGAGUUUGAUUAUGGCUCAGGACGAACGCUGGCGGCGUGCCUAACACAUGCAAGUCGAGCGGAGACAUUUGAGUAGCAAUACGAGGAUGUUUAGCGGCGGACGGGUGAGUAACGCGUGAGCAACCUGUCCCAAACAGGGGGAUAACGAACCGAAAGGUUCACUAAUACCGCAUAAGACCACGGAGUCACAUGGCUUUGAGGUCAAAGGAGCAAUCCGGUUUGGGGUGGGCUCGCGUCUGAUUAGCUAGUUGGUGAGGUAAAGGCCCCACCAAGGCGACGAUCAGUAGCCGACCUGAGAGGGUGAUCGGCCACAUUGGAACUGAGACACGGUCCAAACUCCUACGGGAGGCAGCAGUGGGGAAUAUUGGGCAAUGGGGGAAACCCUGACCCAGCAACGCCGCGUGAAGGAAGAAGGUUUUCGGAUCGUAAACUUCUAUCCUUGGUGAAAAUAAUGAUGGUAGCCAAGAAGGAAGCCCCGGCUAACUACGUGCCAGCAGCAGC